GACGAACGCUGGCGGCGUGCUUAACACAUGCAAGUCGAACGGAAAGGCCCCUUUGGGGGUACUCGAGUGGCGAACGGGUGAGUAACACGUGAGUAACCUGCCCUUGACUUCGGGAUAACUUCAGGAAACUGGGGCUAAUACCGGAUAGGAAUCCUUGCUGCAUGGUGGGGGUUGGAAAGCUUCGGCGGUUUUGGAUGGACUCGCGGCUUAUCAGCUUGUUGGUGGGGUAGUGGCUUACCAAGGCUUUGACGGGUAGCCGGCCUGAGAGGGCGACCGGCCACAUUGGGACUGAGAUACGGCCCAGACUCCUACGGGAGGCAGCAGUGGGGAAUAUUGCACAAUGGGCGGAAGCCUGAUGCAGCAACGCCGCGUGCGGGAUGACGGCCUUCGGGUUGUAAAUCGCUUUCAGCAGGGGCGAAGCUUGUGGUGACGGUACCUGCAGAAGAAGCACCGGCUAACUACGUG
rnacentral:rRNA from 1 species